CACGUAUAACCGGCGUAUAACUCUUUCUAUAUUCAGUUCGGUUUUAUCAGAGAACUCGUCGAAACCCUUAAGAAAAUGUACCACAAGUUGUUGGUCUCUGUUGUGGUAGUCGUUGCAAUUUUUGCCACUGUUUGCGAACCUCAACACGCUGAAGAAGUAUGUAGUCUUCCUGAAGAGACAAUAAUCUGUAAUUUGUGGAAUCACAACUUCCACUGGAGGUACGAGGCUCCGUUACGCAAUUGUGUGCGAGUUGGAGCUGGCCUAUGCCUUGUCAAUAGAAAUGGUUUCGGGACGUACGAGGAGUGCAUGACGUUUUGUAGAGGGGUGGAACCGAGGAUGCAACCUGACUGCUCUGACAGUGACGAGGAUGAGGCAGACUGUACACCUACUGACAACAAAUAAGAAUAAUAACGUUUUCGAAAAUAAAGCUUAAGAACCUU